GCCCAGAUGGGAUUAGCUUGUUGGUGAGGUAACGGCUCACCAAGGCGACGAUCCCUAGCUGGUCUGAGAGGAUGACCAGCCACACUGGAACUGAGACACGGUCCAGACUCCUACGGGAGGCAGCAGUGGGGAAUAUUGCACAAUGGGCGCAAGCCUGAUGCAGCCAUGCCGCGUGUAUGAAGAAGGCCUUCGGGUUGUAAAGUACUUUCAGCGGGGAGGAAGGUGUUGUGGUUAAUAACCGCAGCAAUUGACGUUACCCGCAGAAGAAGCACCGGCUAACUCCGUGCCAGCAGCCGCGGUAAUACGGAGGGUGCAAGCGUUAAUCGGAAUUACUGGGCGUAAAGCGCACGCAGGCGGUCUGUCAAGUCGGAUGUGAAAUCCCCGGGCUCAACCUGGGAACUGCAUUCGAAACUGGCAGGCUUGAGUCUUGUAGAGGGGGGUAGAAUUCCAGGUGUAGCGGUGAAAUGCGUAGAGAUCUGGAGGAAUACCGGUGGCGAAGGCGGCCCCCUGGACAAAGACUGACGCUCAGGUGCGAAAGCGUGGGGAGCAAACAGGAUUAGAUACCCUGGUAGUCCACGCCGUAAACGAUGUCUACUUGGAGGUUGUGCCCUUGAGGCGUGGCUUCCGGAGCUAACGCGUUAAGUAGACCGCCUGGGGAGUACGGCCGCAAGGUUAAAACUCAAAUGAAUUGACGGGGGCCCGCACAAGCGGUGGAGCAUGUGGUUUAAUUCGAUGCAACGCGAAGAACCUUACCUGGUCUUGACAUCCACAGAAGAAUCCAGAGAUGGAUUUGUGCCUUCGGGAACUGUGAGACAGGUGCUGCAUGGCUGUCGUCAGCUCGUGUUGUGAAAUGUUGGGUUAAGUCCCGCAACGAGCGCAACCCUUAUCCUUUGUUGCCAGCGGUUAGGCCGGGAACUCAAAGGAGACUGC
rnacentral:rRNA from 1 species